AUUUACAAAAGACCCGCAAAAAAUAAUUCCUAAUUUUUUUGGGUUUCCCGCUUCUCUGUCCUUAGCCUCUUCUCUGCUUCACCAAUUUUCAUCUCUCUUCCCCUCUCUUCCCCUCUCUGGUUCUUCUCUUCCUUUCUUGUUCUCUGGGCAAGACUGUGAAACCACAACACUCACUGCACACACCUCACUGCUCCCCCCCCCCCCCCACGCGUCGCCGGUGCUGUUCCCUCACCCAUCGCCGGCGUUGUUCCCCUCCUCCACCGCGUCGCAGCUUCUCCUACACGGCGUCGCAACUGCUCCUCCACGGCGUCGCAGCUGCUCCUCCUCCAGCGCCACCUUGGUAUAGAAAAACUUGGAAACCUCCAAUGUUAUUUUUCCUCUUGUAGUAGUCAUACUAAUGAGGCCUAGGAAGAUAAAGAGAGGGAAGAGUUUCAUUACGGUUGAAUUCUUGAAUCACCUAUAAGGUAUUCAAUAAUCCGAGGGAGCGACCUUUCACCUUUGAGGAGAUAGAUGAAGUUCGAGAAAUGUUGGCAAACUUCAUUACCAGUGAUUGUCUUUGAUAUUUUCUUGGACUGAAUCUUAAAUUAUGGAUUCUAACUAGUUUUUCAUGACUGUAAUAUAAUCGAUUUUUAUAUUUACAAUUAUAUACUAUUUAAUUUAAUUAUCUAUAUAAUUGGAUACUUUUUAUA